GGAUCAGGAAGUGUGUGUACAUUUGAGUGAGAGUCUUGGGAAUCUCUCCACUCUCUGCUUCGCUCAACAUCUUCUCUAGAACAGCGGCUGAGAUCCAGCAGAACACUGGGAUGUGGCACAUGAUGUAGAGGCUCCUUGAUGACUUCAGGUGUGAGAUGAUUGUAUUGGCCAGACUCUGAUCACUGAUUCUCUUCCUGAAGUAUUCCUCCUUCUGUGGAUCAUUGAAUCCUCGUACCUCUGUCACUCGAUGGACACACUCAGAGGGGACGAGAUCAGCUGCUGCUGGUCUGGAGGUGAUCCAGAUGAGAGCAGAGGGAAGCAGAUUCCCUGUAAUGAGGUUCGUCAGCAGCACGUCCACUGAGGCUGAUUCACUUACAUCACACAACCUCACAUCGCUCUGAAAAUCCAGAGACAGACGACACUCGUCCAGACCAUCAAAGAUGAACAACACUUUAUAUUUGUCACUGGAUAUUUCCA